GUUUAAACCUGUUCCUUCUUGUCAAGCCACAACUGCACAGCUUUGUAAGCACCGAGGGGAAAGAAAAACUGAAUCUUUAAAGCUUCUCUUCUCAUUUCUGAACAGGCAGAAGAAGCACUCUAAAAAUGGAGAGCCACGAUCUCGCAGUCACAAUUAAUGCCUGCGCAUAUCAGCUACGUCAAGUUGGAGAUGGACUUCACUGGAGAUACAAACUGCUGGAAAUACUGAUCAAGAACUAUGAGACUGUUUCUAAAAUCAAGUGAGACAUGUUCGUCAAAGUACAUGAAAGAGGAAUUGGAUUUUGCUUAACUGGAUAGCAUUCAGAGCAAAAGCUGAAGAGUCUUGGAUACGGACUCAUCACUGGAGGCUAAAUGGGGGCCCUCAAGUGGGAUGUAAGCUCCUGGAAAUACCCUGAUGAAGACAUGGACACAUGUUUAAAAAAAAAAAAGGGAUGCUGUUGAUCCACCGAUUCAGAGCCAUGGGUGACUGGAACCAAAGUGGACUAUCUGAAUGGAAGUUAUCUGCUGAAAGAUGCUGAUUAUUAUCACAUGUAUAGGCUACAUACUUCUGUAAACAUGGACAUGUGUGAAUGUUAUGCUCGAUCAGCCUGUCACAUGUAUGAUAACUGAAGAAUUGAGAUGUAGUUACUUAUCAACUCAAGACUUCUUUGUAAAUGGGAGGUAAUUAAUGGGUUUCUUAUUAAAGAUUCAUAUUCAAUAAGUCUAGAAUCUGGUUGUGUGUUUUAUAGUGGUGAAUGCCAGUGAAUAUAAGACAAUUUAAAGGAAUAGUUGGCAUUUUAGCAAAUAUGCUUAUUUGCUUUCCGGCUGUGAGUUAGAUGGGAAGAUACUAGUGAAUACAGAUUUUUCCUAAAAUAUCAAACAAUUCCUUUAGCAAAACUCAGGAAAUAAUCCAAAGCACUUUCACUUGAUAAAUCAAAAAGCCUUCAUUGUUAUGGCUUAGUCAUCUGAAAACCCCUAAAGGAGUCAAUCCUGUUGAUUCCCUAAUGAAGGCUUGUGUGCCAAAACACGUCAGAGUUGUUUUUUAAGGUUUAAGAUGACUAAGCCAUAACAAUAGAGGCUUUUUGAUUCUU